ACGUAGGGUGCAAGCGUUAAUCGGAAUUACUGGGCGUAAAGCGUGCGCAGGCGGUUUUGUAAGACAGGCGUGAAAUCCCCGGGCUUAACCUGGGAAUGGCGCUUGUGACUGCAAAGCUGGAGUGCGGCAGAGGGGGAUGGAAUUCCGCGUGUAGCAGUGAAAUGCGUAGAUAUGCGGAGGAACACCGAUGGCGAAGGCAAUCCCCUGGGCCUGCACUGACGCUCAUGCACGAAAGCGUGGGGAGCAAACAGGAUUAGAUACCCUGGUAGUCCACGCCCUAAACGAUGUCAACUGGUUGUUGGGUCUCUUCUGACUCAGUAACGAAGCUAACGCGUGAAGUUGACCGCCUGGGGAGUACGGCCGCAAGGUUG
rnacentral:rRNA from 1 species